UACAGAGGUCCCAAGCGUUGUUCGGAAUUAUUGGGCGUAAAGGGCGCGUAGGCGGCUUUGCAAGUGACGGGUGAAAGCCCUCGGCUUAACCGAGGAACUGCCUGUCAGACUGUAAGGCUUGAGACCGGGAGAGGUGAGUGGAAUUCCCAGUGUAGCGGUGAAAUGCGUAGAUAUUGGGAGGAACACCAGUGGCGAAGGCGGCUCACUGGACCGGAACUGACGCUGAGGCGCGAAAGCGUGGGGAGCAAACAGG
rnacentral:rRNA from 1 species